rnacentral:piRNA from 1 species
UGUGAUAGCCUAUACAGAUGUGACCC